rnacentral:rRNA from 1 species
UACGGAAGGCAGCAGUGGGGAAUAUUGCACAAUGGGCGCAAGCCUGAUGCAGCCAUGCCGCGUGUAUGAAGAAGGCCUUCGGGUUGUAAAGUACUUUCAGCGGGGAGGAAGGCGAUGCGGUUAAUAACCGCGUCGAUUGACGUUACCCGCAGAAGAAGCACCGGCUAACUCCGUGCCAGCAGCCGCGGUAAUACGGAGGGUGCAAGCGUUAAUCGGAAUUACUGGGCGUAAAGCGCACGCAGGCGGUCUGUUAAGUCAGAUGUGAAAUCCCCGGGCUUAACCUGGGAACUGCAUUUUGAAACUGGCAGGCUUGAGUCUUGUAGAGGGGGUAGAAUUCCAGGUGUAGCGGUGAAAUGCGUAGAGAUCUGGAGGAAUACCGGUGGCGAAGGCGGCCCCUGGGACAAAGCUGACGCUCAGGUGCGAAAGCGUGGGGAGCAAACG